rnacentral:rRNA from 1 species
CCUACGGGAGGCAGCAGUGAGGAAUAUUGGUCAAUGGGCGCGAGCCUGAACCAGCCAAGUAGCGUGAAGGAUGACUGCCCUACGGGUUGUACACUUCUUUUAUAAAGGACUAAAGUGAGGCACGUGUGCCUUUUUGUAUGUACUUUAUGAAUAAGGAUCGGCUAACUCCGUGCCAGCAGCCGCGGUAAUAAGGAGGAUCCGAGCGUUAUCCGGAUUGAUUGUGUUUAAAGGGAGCGUAGAUGGGUUGUUAAGUCAGUUGUGAAAGUUUGCGGCUCAACCGUAAAAUUGCAAUUGAUCAUGGCAGCCUUGAGUACAGGUGAGGUAGGCGGAAUUCGUGGUGUAGCGGUGAGAUGCUUAGAUAUCACGAAGAACUCCGAUUGCGAAGGCAGCUUACUAAACUGCCACUGACAUUGAUGCUCGAAAGUGUGGGUAUCAAACAGGAUGAGAUACCCGGGUAGUC